UGGGGAAUUUUGGACAAUGGGGGAAACCCUGAUCCAGCCAUCCCGCGUGUGCGAUGAAGGCCUUCGGGUUGUAAACACUUUUGGCAGGAAAGAAACGUCGUGGGUUAAUACCCCGCGAAACUGACGGUACCUGCAGAAUAAGCACCGGCUAACUACGUGCCAGCAGCCGCGGUAAUACGUAGGGUGCAAGCGUUAAUCGGAAUUACUGGGCGUAAAGCGUGCGCAGGCGGUUCGGAAAGAAAGAUGUGAAAUCCCAGAGCUUAACUUUGGAACUGCAUUUUUAACUACCGGGCUAGAGUGUGUCAGAGGGAGGUGGAAUUCCGCGUGUAGCAGUGAAAUGCGUAGAUAUGCGGAGGAACACCGAUGGCGAAGGCAGCCUCCUGGGAUAACACUGACGCUCAUGCACGAAAGCGUGGGGAGCAAACAGGAUUAGAUACCCUGGUAGUCCACGCCCUAAACGAUGUCAACUAGCUGUUGGGGUCUUCGGACCUUGGUAGCGCAGCUAACGCGUGAAGUUGACCGCCUGGGGAGUACGGUCGCAAGAUUAAAACUCAAAUGAAUUGAC
rnacentral:rRNA from 1 species